rnacentral:rRNA from 1 species
AUUGAACGCUGGCGGCAGGCUUAACACAUGCAAGUCGAACGAGUGGCGGACGGGUGAGUAAUGCUUGGGAAUCUAGCUUAUGGAGGGGGAUAACUACGGGAAACUGUAGCCAAUACCGCGUACCAUAGGAUGAGCCCAAGGGGGAUGUGGUAGUUGGGGAGGUAAAGGCUCACCAAGCCGACGAUCUCUAGCUAGUCUGAGAGGAUGACCAGCCACCAUGGGACUGAGUCACGGCCCAGACUCCGACGGGAGGCAGCAGUGGGGAAUAGUGCACAAUGGGCGCAAGCCUGAUGCAGCCAUGCCGCGUUGAUGGAGAAGGCCUUCGGGUUGUAAAGUACUUUCAGUCUGGAGGCGUUACCGACAGAAGAAGCACCGGCUAACUCCGUGCCAGCAGCCGCGGUAAUAC